rnacentral:rRNA from 1 species
UGGGGAAUAUUGCACAAUGGGGGAAACCCUGAUGCAGCGACGCCGCGUGAGCGAAGAAGGUUUUCGAAUCGUAAAGCUCUGUCCUAUGAGAAGAUAAUGACGGUAUCAUAGGAGGAAGCCCCGGCUAAAUACGUGCCAGCAGCCGCGGUAAUACGUAUGGGGCGAGCGUUGUCCGGAAUUAUUGGGCGUAAAGGGUACGUAGGCGGUCUAUUAAGUCAGGUGUGAAAGCGUGAGGCUUAACCUCAUUAAGCACUUGAAACUGAUAGACUUGAGUGAAGGAGAGGAAAGUGGAAUUCCUAGUGUAGCGGUGAAAUGCGUAGAUAUUAGGAGGAAUACCGGUGGCGAAAGCGGCUUUUUGGCCUGCAACUGACACUGUGGCGCGAAAGCGUGGGGAGCAAACAGG